rnacentral:rRNA from 1 species
CCUGACUGCUAUCGGAUUGAUACUAAGCCAUGCGAGUCAUUGCAGUAAUACAAGGCAGACGGCUCAGUAACGCGUAGUCAACCUACCCUAUGGACGGGAAUAACCUCGGGAAACUGAGAAUAAUGCCCGAUAGAACAUUAUGCCUGGAAUGGUUUAUGUUCCAAAUGAUUAUCGCCGUAGGAUGGGACUGCGUCCUAUCAGUUUGUUGGUGAGGUAAUGGCCCACCAAGACUAUUACAGGUACGGGCUCUGAGAGGAGUGGCCCGGAGAUGGGUACUGAGACACGGACCCAGGCCCUAUGGGGCGCAGCAGGCGAGAAAACUUUGCAAUGUGCGAAAGCACGACAAGGUUAAUCCGAGUGGUUUCUGCUAAAGGAACCUUUUGACAGUCCUAGAAACACUGUUGAAUAAGGGGUGGGCAAGUUCUGGUGUCAGCCGCCGCGGUAAAACCAGCACCUCAAGUGGUCAGGAUGAUUAUUGGGCCUGAAGCAUCCGUAGCCGGCUCUGUUAGUUUUCGGUUAAAUCUGUACGCUCAACGUACAGGCUGCCGGGAAUACUGCAGAGCUAGGGAGUGGGAGAGGUAGACGGUACUCGGUAGGAAGGGGUAAAAUCCUUUGAUCUAUUGAUGACCACCUGUGGCGAAGGCGGUCUACCAGAACACGUCCGACGGUGAGGGAUGAAAGCUGGGGGAGCAAACCGGAUUAGAUACCCGGGUAGUCCCAGCUGUAACUAUGCAAACCCAGUGAUGCA